GAUGAACGCUGGCGGCGUGCCGAAUACAUGCAAGUCGAGCGAACAGACGAGGAGCUUGCUCCUCUGACGUUAGCGGCGGACGGGUGAGUAACACGUGGAUAACCUACCUAUAAGACUGGGAUAACUUCGGGAAACCGGAGCUAAUACCGGAUAAUAUAUUGAACCGCAUGGUUCAAUAGUGAAAGACGGUUUUGCUGUCACUUAUAGAUGGAUCCGCGCCGCAUUAGCUAGUUGGUAAGGUAACGGCUUACCAAGGCAACGAUGCGUAGCCGACCUGAGAGGGUGAUCCGCCCCACUGGAACUGAGACACGGUCCAGACUCCUACGGGAGGCAGCAGUAGGGAAUCUUCCGCAAUGGGCGAAAGCCUGACGGAGCAACGCCGCGUGAGUGAUGAAGGUCUUCCGAUCGUAAAACUCUGUUAUUAGGGAAGAACAAAUGUGUAAGUAACUAUGCACGUCUUGACGGUCCCUAAUCAGAAAGCCACGGCUAACUACGUG
rnacentral:rRNA from 1 species